rnacentral:rRNA from 1 species
GACGGAAGGUGCAAGCGUUGCUCGGAAUCACUGGGCGUAAAGGGUGCGUAGGCGGCUUCUUAAGUCUGGUGUGAAAGCCCAGGGCUCAGCUCUGGAAGUGCACUAGAUACUGGGAAGCUUGAGUACCGGAGGGGAGAGUGGAAUUCCUGGUGUAGCGGUGAAAUGCGUAGAUAUCAGGAGGAACACCGGUGGCGAAGGCGGGUCUCUGGGCCGAUACUGACGCUGAGGAGCGAAAGCGUGGGGAGCGAACAGG